UACGAAGGGGGCUAGCGUUGUUCGGAGUUACUGGGCGUAAAGGGCGCGUAGGCGGCAGUCCAAGUCAGGUGUGAAAGCCCGGGGCUCAACCCCGGAAAUGCACUUGAGACUGGGCGGCUUGAGGACGGGAGAGGAUAGUGGAAUUCCCAGUGUAGAGGUGAAAUUCGUAGAUAUUGGGAAGAACACCGGUGGCGAAGGCGGCUAUCUGGACCGUUUCUGACGCUGAGGCGCGAAAGCGUGGGGAGCAAACAGG
rnacentral:rRNA from 1 species